AUCUUUUUGUAGCAUCAUCAAAGAGCCUUGGGAUACUUUAAAAGUGGGUCAUCAUGCACCUGCAUGAGAUGUGCAGUCCCGAAUUGUUACAACAGGGCACAGUACCCUUCUGAUC